GACAGAGGCCCAAGCGUUAGGCGGAAUCACUGGGCUUAAAGCGUGUGUAGGCGGAUCGUUAAGUGUCUUGUGAAAUCCCACGGCUCACCCGUGGAACUGCUGGGCAUACUGGCGAUCUUGGGCCAACUAGGGGCAGCCGGAACAAGCGGUGGAGCGGUGAAAUGCGUAGAUAUCGCUUGGAACGCCGAAGGUGAAAACAGGCUGCUGGGGUUGCGCCGACGCUGAGACACGAAAGCCAGGGGAGCAAACGGG
rnacentral:rRNA from 1 species